AGAGUUUGAUCCUGGCUCAGAUUGAACGCUGGCGGCAGGCCUAACACAUGCAAGUCGAACGGUAACAGGAAGAAGCUUGCUUCUUUGCUGACGAGUGGCGGACGGGUGAGUAAUGUCUGGGAAACUGCCUGAUGGAGGGGGAUAACUACUGGAAACGGUAGCUAAUACCGCAUAACGUCGCAAGACCAAAGAGGGGGACCUUCGGGCCUCUUGCCAUCGGAUGUGCCCAGAUGGGAUUAGCUAGUAGGUGGGGUAACGGCUCACCUAGGCGACGAUCCCUAGCUGGUCUGAGAGGAUGACCAGCCACACUGGAACUGAGACACGGUCCAGACUCCUACGGGAGGCAGCAGUGGGGAAUAUUGCACAAUGGGCGCAAGCCUGAUGCAGCCAUGCCGCGUGUAUGAAGAAGGCCUACGGGUUGUAAAGUACUUUCAGCGGGGAGGAAGGGAGUAAAGUUAAUACCUUUGCUCAUUGACGUUACCCGCAGAAGAAGCACCGGCUAACUCCGUGCCAGCAGCCGCGGUAAUACGGAGGGUGCAAGCGUUAAUCGGAAUUACUGGGCGUAAAGCGCACGCAGGCGGUUUGUUAAGUCAGAUGUGAAAUCCCCGGGCUCAACCCUGGGAACUGCAUCUGAUACUGGCAAGCUUGAGUCUCGUAGAGGGGGGUAGAAUUCCAGGUGUAGCGGUGAAAUGCGUAGAGAUCUGGAGGAAUACCGGUGGCGAAGGCGGCCCCCUGGACGAAGACUGACGCUCAGGUGCGAAAGCGUGGGGAGCAAACAGGAUUAGAUACCCUGGUAGUCCACGCCGUAAACGAUGUCGACUUGGAGGGUGUGCCCUGAGGGCGUGGCUUCCGGAGGCUAACGCGUUAAGUCGACCGCCUGGGGAGUACGGCCGCAAGGUUAAAACUCAAAUGAAUUGACGGGGGGCCCGCACAAGCGGUGGAGCAUGUGGUUUAAUUCGAUGCAACGCGAAGAACCUUACCUGGUCUUGACAUCCACAGAAACUUUCCAGAGAUGGAUUGGUGCCUUCGGGAACUGUGAGACAGGUGCUGCAUGGCUGUCGUCAGCUCGUGUUGUGAAAUGUUGGGUUAAGUCCCGCAACGAGCGCAACCCUUAUCCUUUGUUGCCAGCGGUCCGGCCGGGAACUCAAAGGAGACUGCCAGUGAUAAACUGGAGGAAGGUGGGGAUGACGUCAAGUCAUCAUGGCCCUUACGACCAGGGCUACACACGUGCUACAAUGGCGCAUACAAAGAGAAGCGACCUCGCGAGAGCAAGCGGACCUCAUAAAGUGCGUCGUAGUCCGGAUUGGAGUCUGCAACUCGACGCCAUGAAGUCGGAAUCGCUAGUAAUCGUGGAUCAGAAUGCCACGGUGAAUACGUUCCCGGGCCUUGCACUCAAAGCCCGUCA
rnacentral:rRNA from 1 species